CAUCACUACGCUAGAUGCAUAUCAAUAAGCGGAGGAAAAGAAACUAACAAGGAUUCCCUUAGUAACGGCGAGUGAAGCGGGAAGAGCUCAAAUUUGAAAUCUUCAAGGUUUUACCUUGACGAAUUGUAGUUUAAAGAAGUGUUUUCUGUUGAAGUUUUGGUAAAAGUUCUUUGGAAUAGGACAUCAUAGAGGGUGAGAAUCCCGUAUUUGACCAUUAUUUUCAGCUGUGUGAUACACUUUCAAAGAGUCGGAUUGUUUGGGAAUGCAGUCCAAAAUGGGUGGUAAAUUUCAUCUAAAGCUAAAUAUUGGCGAGAGACCGAUAGCGAACAAGUACCGUGAGGGAAAGAUGAAAAGAACUUUGAAAAGAGAGUUAAACAGUACGUGAAAUUGUCAAAAGGGAAGCGUUUGACACCAGUGUUGUUUUCUCGAAAAUCAAUUAAAAAAGGCCGGAUUUUGUGUUGUAUUGACCUUAAAAGCUUUCUUCACUCUUUUCUUGUCUUUUUUAAUGCACUUUUCGUUUAACAAGUCAACAUCAGUUUCUUUUGUUGUAAAAGGGUCAUUGGAAGGUGGCUUUCUUUUCGGAGAAAGUGUUUAUAGCCUUUGAUCUCUGCAACCGGAGAGACUGAGGUCUGCAGCGUAGACUCUUCGGGGUUAGAUACAUUUGUGCUAAGCUAUAGCUUUUUAUAGACAACUUGUUGACUAUGUUUAGUCUUGUAGGCUUACUCGCUUAUGCUAUUUUACCUACGCUUAGGAUGUUGAAGAUAUGCGCGACAC
rnacentral:rRNA from 1 species